rnacentral:rRNA from 1 species
AAACCGGAGCUAAUACCGAUAAUAUUUCGAACCGCAUGGUUCGAUAGUGAAAGAUGGUUUUGCUAUCACUUAUAGAUGGACCUGCGCCGUAUUAGCUAGUUGGUAAGGUAACGGCUUACCAAGGCGACGAUACGUAGCCGACCUGAGAGGGUGAUCGGCCACACUGGAACUGAGACACGGUCCAGACUCCUACGGGAGGCAGCAGAC